AUUUUGGGACUGAGCACUGUACCCAUUGUAUUUAAAUACAAAUUAAAUACAAUGGGUACAGUGCUCAGUCCCAAAAU